ACUACUAUAACAUAUUUUAAUUUUUUUGAGGUUGUUUCCCUUUGUUUUCCAGUUUGCUUUGCUACGGUGUUUCCUUUGAUUGCGAGGACUUAAGGUCGUUUCCCUUUGUUCUUCAGUUACCUUUGUUGCGGUGUUCCCUUUGGUUUCCAGGAGUCAAGGACCGUACCCAACAACAAUAAACAACUCAUUAAAAGCAUCAAAAUUGGGUUGAAUUGGAUAUAUAGAAGAAUUCAAGCAAAGAAUUACCAAAUUAGUAAACACAGCCCAACCAGUUCUCAUGUUUCGCAAUGAGGCAAGCUCACAACCAUCCGGUUCUCGCCAGUUUUCAGCAAACCAUUCAUUUUUGUUGAGGUGAAGUGAAUGUGCAGCCAAAGUUAAGGAAAUAUGUUGUUUUCAAAUACUCUCUUGACUCAGAAUUGAUAAACACCAUAAUAUAAUAGACUCACUGCUAGAUAUUUUGUGAAAUUUUUUUACAAUGUAAAUUCAAUCUAUAAUUUCAAUAAAUUUAA